rnacentral:rRNA from 1 species
AGAGUUUGAUCCUGGCUCAUGACGAACGCUGGCGGCGUGCUUAAUACAUGCAAGUCGAGCGGGCUUUGCAACUCGUCACUGGUUGCUUGUAACUUGUAAAAGCGGGAAGGCCGAUUGCAGGCAGAUAGCAGGCAAAGGCUGACUGGAGGAACGAGCGACGAGCGACAAGUUGCAAAGUUAGCGGCGAACGGGUGAGUAACGCGUGGGUAAUCUGCCUUCAAGACCGGGAUAACAGGGCGAAAGCGCUGCUAAUACCGGAUAAUCUCUUUUUGUUGCCUGACAAAGAGAGCAAAGCUUUGGCGCUUGGAGAUGAGCCCGCGUUCCAUUAGCUAGUUGGUGAGGUAAGAGCUCACCAAGGCGACGAUGGAUAGCCGGCCUGAGAGGGUGACCGGCCACACUGGGACUGAGACACGGCCCAGACUCCUACGGGAGGCAGCAGUAAGGAAUUUUCCGCAAUGGGCGAAAGCCUGACGGAGCAACGCCGCGUGAGGGACGAAGGUCUUCGGAUCGUAAACCUCUGUCAUUGAGGACGAAAAAUGACGGUACUCGAGGAGGAAGCCCCGGCUAACUACGUGCCAGCAGCCGCGGUAACACGUAGGGGGCGAGCGUUGUCCGGAAUUACUGGGCGUAAAGGGCGUGUAGGCGGUUUAUUAAGUCAGACGUGAAAACCCUGGGCUUAACCUGCGGACUGCGUUUGAAACUGGUAGGCUUGAGGGCAGGAGGAGGAAAGUGGAAUUCCCGGUGUAGCGGUGAUAUGCGUACAUACCGGGAGAAAUACCAGGGGGAAAGGGGGACUUUUUGGCGUGCACUUGACUGCUGAGGCGCGAAAGCCCGGGGACCGAACGGGAUAGGAUACCCCGGUUAGUUUUGCCCCUUAAACGAUGGGUACUAGGUGUGGGAGGUAUCGAUUCCUUCGGUGCCGGAGUUAACACAAUAAUUACCCCGCCUGGAGAGUACGGCCGCAAGGCUGAAACUCAAAGGAAUUGACGGGGGCCCGCACAAGCGGUGGAGCAUGUGGUUUAAUUCGAUGUUACGCGAAGAACCUUACCAGGUUCUGACAUCUUCUUGCCGGGUAUAGAAAUAUACCUUUCCUUCGGGACGGGAAGACAGGUGGUGCAUGGCUGUUGUCAGCUCGUGUCGUGAGAUGUUGGGUUAAAUUCCGCAACGAGCGCAACCCUCAUCGUUAGUUGCCAGCGGUUUGGCCGGGCACUAUAUGGAGACUGCCGGUGACAAACCGGAGGAAGGUGAGGACGACGUCAAGUCAUCAUGCCCCUUAUGACCUGGGCCACACACGUGCUUCAAUGGCCGGUACAGAGCGCAGCGAACCCGCGAGGGGGAGCGAAUCGCAAAAAACCGGUCUCAGUUCGGAUCGGAGGCUGCAACCCGCCUCCGCGAAGGAGGAAUCGCUAGUAAUCUCGGGUCAGCAUACCGAGGUGAAUAUGUUCCCGGGCUUUGUACACACCGCCCGUCACACCAUGAAAGUCUUUUACACCCGAAGCCGGUGUGGUAACCCGGUUUACCGGGAGCAAGCCGUUUAAGGUGGAGCAGAUAAUUAGGGUGAAGUGGUAACAAGGUAACCG